UACGUAGGGUGCAAGCGUUAAUCGGAAUUACUGGGCGUAAAGCGUGCGCAGGCGGCUUUGCAAGACAGAUGUGAAAUCCCCGGGCUUAACCUGGGGACUGCAUUUGUGACUGCAUGGCUGGAGUGCGGCAGAGGGGGAUGGAAUUCCGCGUGUAGCAGUGAAAUGCGUAGAGAUGUGGAGGAACACCGAUGGCGAAGGCAGCCCCCUGGGUUAACACUGACGCUCAGGCACGAAAGCGUGGGGAGCAAACAGG
rnacentral:rRNA from 1 species